GAUGAAGAACGUAGCGAAAUGCGAUAAGUAAUGUGAAUUGCAGAAUUCAGUGAAUCAUCGAAUCUUUGAACGCACAUUGCGCCCCCUGGUAUUCCGGGGGGCAUGCCUGUCCGAGCGUCAUUACAACCCUCAAGCUCAGCUUGGUGUUGGGCCCCGCCGCCCCGGCGGGCCCUAAAGCCAGUGGCGGUGCCGUCCGGCUCCGAGCGUAGUAAUUCUUCUCGCUCUGGAGGUCCGGUCGUGUGCUCGCCAGCAACCCCCAAUUUUUUUCAGGUUGACCUCGGAUCAGGUAGGGAUACCCGCUGAACUUAAGCAUAUCAAUAAGCGGAGGA
rnacentral:misc_RNA from 1 species